rnacentral:rRNA from 1 species
CAGGGGACUAUGAACAUACAUCUUUACUUAAAAUAGUAAAAAAUUAUUGUUUAAAACCCAAAGGACUUGGCGGUGCUUCAUAUCCCCCUAGAGGAGCCUGUUUUAGAAUCGAUACUCCCCGCUAAACCUCACCUUUUCUUGCAUACCCCGCCUGUAUACCGCCGUCGUCAGUUUACCCUAUGAGGGAAGAAAAGUAGGCAAAAUCGUUUCUAAAGCCAGCAUGACAGGUCAAGGUGCAGCUAAUGAAAAGGAAUUAAAUGGGCUACAUUUACUGAGCCAGUAAAUUACGAAUGUUUGUCAUGAAAAAACAACUGAAGGAGGAUUUAGUAGUAAGAAGAGAAUAGAGUGCUUUUCUGAAUUUUUCAAGGCUCUGAAGCGCGUACACACCGC